UACGUAGGGGGCUAGCGUUGUCCGGCAUCAUUGGGCGUAAAGCGCGUGUAGGCGGUUCGGUAAGUCCGCUGUGAAAGUCGGGGGCUCAACCCUCGAAUGCCGGUGGAUACUGUCGGGCUAGAGUGCGGAAGAGGCGAGUGGAAUUCCUGGUGUAGCGGUGAAAUGCGCAGAUAUCAGGAGGAACACCAAUUGCGAAGGCAGCUCGCUGGGACGCUACUGACGCUGAGACGCGAAAGCGUGGGGAGCAAACAGG
rnacentral:rRNA from 1 species